rnacentral:rRNA from 1 species
AGCGGCGGACGGGUGAGUAACACGUGGGUAACCUGCCCAAGAGACUGGGAUAACACCUGGAAACAGAUGCUAAUACCGGAUAACAACACUAGACGCAUGUCUAGAGCUUGAAAGAUGGUUCUGCUAUCACUCUUGGAUGGACCUGCGGUGCAUUAGCUAGUUGGUAAGGUAACGGCUUACCAAGGCAAUGAUGCAUAGCCGAGUUGAGAGACUGAUCGGCCACAUUGGGACUGAGACACGGCCCAAACUCCUACGGGAGGCAGCAGUAGGGAAUCUUCCACAAUGGACGAAAGUCUGAUGGAGCAACGCCGCGUGAGUGAAGAAGGGUUUCGGCUCGUAAAGCUCUGUUGGUAGUGAAGAAAGAUAGAGGUAGUAACUGGCCUUUAUUUGUCGGUAAUUACUUAGAAAGUCACGGCUAACUACGUGCCAGCAGCCGCGGUAAUACGUAGGUGGCAAGCGUUGUCCGGAUUUAUUGGGCGUAAAGCGAGUGCAGGCGGUUCAAUAAGUCUGAUGUGAAAGCCUUCGGCUCAACCGGAGAAUUGCAUCAGAAACUGUUGAACUUGAGUGCAGAAGAGGAGAGUGGAACUCCAUGUGUAGCGGUGGAAUGCGUAGAUAUAUGGAAGAACACCAGUGGCGAAGGCGGCUCUCUGGUCUGCAACUGACGCUGAGGCUCGAAAGCAUGGGUAGCGAACAGGAUUAGAUACCCUGGUAGUCCAUGCCGUAAACGAUGAGUGCUAAGUGU